rnacentral:rRNA from 1 species
AUACAGAGGGUGCAAGCGUUAAUCGGAAUUACUGGGCGUAAAGCGCGCGUAGGCGGUUUGUUAAGUUGGAUGUGAAAGCCCCGGGCUUAACCUGGGAGGGUCAUUCAAAACUGGCAGACUAGAGUGUGGUAGAGGGUAGUGGAAUUCCUAGUGUAGCGGUGAAAUGCGUAGAGAUUAGGAGGAACACCAGUGGCGAAGGCGACUGCCUGGACCAACACUGACGCUGAGGUGCGAAAGCGUGGGUAGCGAACCGGAUUAGAUACCCCGGUAGUCC